CCUGACUUCUAUAAUCUUUUUUUAAUUUGAAAUUUCUAAUAGAAAAUUAAUUUAAUUUUAAAAUAAUAAUAUUUUAUUUUAUUUUUAAAUUCAUAAUAAUAUGUUUAUUAUCAUUAUUAUGUUAAAAUAUUUUAAAUUUAAAAUAUAUAAUAAAUUAAAUCAAAAUACUAAAAGACAUAACUAACACCCCCGUGGCCGUGAUGUUUGGAUUUGAAAUAAACAUAAAUUUGGAUUUGGAAAUGGAUCGGCCUAUACAGUUUGAUUGUUUUCUGAAACAAUAGGAACCCAAGAUUGUUAGAAGCAUAUGAAGGUAGAAAAUGGGCGAUUUAGGUGGGUGUAUAUGGUUUCAGUUUAAUUUAAUUUCUAACGGCUAUUUGAUAAGUUUAAAAUAUAUAAGGAAAGUUUUGAUCUACAUGCCUUAUUUGAUUUUCUUGCAACGGUCAUAAGAUAUACCAUUAAUAAUAUUAUUAUUUAUUAUGUAUAUAUACUCUGCUCUGGCAAAUGUGGUAUUAUGGUCUACAUAAAAAAAGAAAGGUUCCAGAAGUCGGUGCUCCUGGGAGGCUUGUAUUUCUAUUUCGAUCAGGUAAGGAUUUCUUUGGGCUUGACGUUUCUGGUGGAAUAGCGGGUUGAACCGCGACGUUGCGGCGACCAUUUCAAUAGGUACGGGAAGGUAUGUUUUAGUUGAAUUCAAGAUUCGCUACUGGUUAGGAGUGGUGAUUUGCGAUUGCUUCAAACUACUUGAUUAGGAUAAUACAUUCGCUUGGUAUACAACUUACAAAUUUUCAAUUUUGAGUUGUUCAUAUACUUUAAGUUGUGAUUUGAAGCUUCAAUCUGCCUUCCUCCUCCUUCGCUACAACGGUAAGGGUAGAAAAUUUAGGGCUUGAGGAAUACAGUGUUUGAUUUUUUUAGCAAUAGAAAUUUUGUUUUUCUCAAAAAAAAAAUCCGUCUCUCGUUCUCAUUUCUUUCAGCGUUGCAUUUGAUAUUCAGUGUUUUGAAUUCCAUUUCUCCUUUCCAAUUUAAACAUGCUCUUUUAUUUUAUUUUGGGUUCGGGAUCGGCUAUGGUGUCAGGUGAUUCUGGGUUGGAUUUUGGUUCAAGUUCAAGUUCUGGUUCGGUCUGGCUCUGACUCUAACUUAGGUGAUUCUGGGUUGUGUUUGGGUUUAGUUCCGGCUCUAACUUGUGCUUGGAUCUGGUUUGGCUCUAGCAUUGGUGCAGUUCUUGUAUUAAUUGGGUUCUAGUUCAUGUUUGGUUCUGGCUUUGGCUAUGGCUCGGGUGAUUCCGGGUCAGGUUCAAGUUAGUUCCAGCUCUAGCUUGGGCUUGGAUCUGGUUUGGCUCUAGCUUUGGUGCAGUUCUUGUAUGGAUCGGGUUCUAUUUCAUGUUUGGCUCUAGCAUUGGUGCAGUUCUUGUAUUAAUUGGGUUCUAGGUCAUGUUUGGUUCUGGCUUUGGCUAUGGCUCGGGUGAUUCCGGGUCAGGUUCAAGUUGGUGCAGUUCUUGUAUUAAUUGGGUUCUAGGUCAUGUUUGGUUCUGGCUUUGGCUAUGGCUCGGGUGAUUCCGGGUCAGGUUCAAGUUGGUGCAGUUCUUGUAUGGAUCGGGUUCUAGGUCAUGUUUGGUUCUGGCUUUGGCUAUGGCUCGGGUGAUUCCGGGUCAGGUUCAAGUUGGUGCAGUUCUUGUAUUAAUUGGGUUCUAGGUCAUGUUUGGUUCUGGCUUUGGCUAUGGCUCGGGUGAUUCCGGGUCAGGUUCAAGUUGGUGCAGUUCUUGUAUGGAUCGGGUUCUAGGUCAUGUUUGGUUCUGGCUUUGGCUAUGGCUCGGGUGAUUCCGGUCAGGUUCAAGUUGGUGCAGUUCUUGUAUUAAUUGGGUUCUAGGUCAUGUUUGGUUCUGGCUUUGGCUAUGGCUCGGGUGAUUCCGGGUCAGGUUCAAGUUAGUUCCAGCUCUAGCUUGGGCUUGGAUCUGGUUUGGCUCUAGCUUUGGUGCAGUUCUUGUAUGGAUCGGGUUCUAUUUCAUGUUUGGUUCUAGAUUUGGCUAUGACUCGGGUGAUUCCGGGUCAGGUUCAAGUUAGUUCCUACUCUAGCAUGGCCCUGGUUGAGGUUCAACUCUGGCUCAGGUGAUUCUGGGUUGGGUUUGAAUCUAGUUUGGUCUAGCUUGGGCAUGGAUUGAGUCUGGUCCGUGUUUUGGUUUUGGGUCUCUAACACUGCCUUGGGCUUAGGCGUUUCUGAGUCAACUCCCGUUCUAGUUCCAAUUCUAGCAUGGUCAGGUAUACUACAUGAUCUGGUUCAGUCCUCAGCUUUGAUUUUGGCUCUAAAUCCAGCCAAGAUCAAAUCUCUUUUUCAUGGUUUAGUUCUAGUUCUUGUCUUUCUUUGCUCUUGUGCAGUUCUUGUUUGGGCUCGUGCCUGACUCUAGCUCUAGCUCAGGUGGUUCUGGUUCGGGUUUGAGUUUGUUUCCGGCUCUAGCUCUUCUUUGAUUGGGUUGCGGGUCUUGUUCAUGUUGUAGUUUUUCUAGUCUUGCUUUUUGAUGUGGUUCUUGUCUGGUUUGGGUUUGGAUCUUGCUCAUGCUCUAGCUCUCAUGUUCCUGUUUUGGUUUGGCUUCACUCCAGUCGAUUGCAUUGUUUAAUUUUUCUAGUUUGUUCUUUUUAGUUCAAAUAUUCACCGUUUAUUGGUUUUUAUGGAAGUUUUAUCCACAUGCGACUAUAUUUUUCAUCUUGGUCCACUUUUCAAAUAAUGCUUAUAAGCUCUCUUGACCUAUUUUUCAAUCAAAUUAUCAAGUUAUAUUGCUGUUUUUUUGCCUCACAAUCUGAGCUGAAUGAUGAGGCAUAAACAGAUUUGAGUUGAGCAUCAAUAAGAAAAUCAACCCGUAUCUUGGCGGGGAAAUCCGGAAGGCAUGCCAUACGAUGUGCAACAGAUCUUGCAGCCAUGGCGUGGCCGAUUAGUGCAUUGUCAUUCAAUUCAUUUCAAUUAGAAAAUCGGCCUGUUUCUUGGCGGGGUAAUCUGGAAGGCAUGUCAUAUGAUGUGCAACAGGAAAUUUUGCAACCAUAGCGUUGCUGAUUAGUGCAUUGUCAUUCAAUUCAUUUCAAUUUAUUGAGUGAUGAAUGUACAUAUUCUAAAUUCCUAUCAAGCUCAAUAAAAUAAUAUAUAUAUAUAUAUUUGUACAUUGGAUUACAUAACUUCUUGUUAGCAACCAACUUACAACUUGAGUUAUAAUAUUACAUAUAGCCUUCUGCUCAUUUUCGUUGGGUUGGAAUACCUUUAAAUAUUAUUUCAUUUUUUUUUUUAUCAAGGCAUGAUUUCCUUCAAUUGUAUCUCUACUUGAGAACUUUAUUGACUGCUUUCAAUGAUGUUCAUUAUAAGCAUUAUUUUAAUAUGGACUCUUUUCAAAUACUAAUUAAUAGCUUGUUUUUUUUAAAGACAGGGCUAAUGGUGCUUGCGAAUCUUUGAGCCAUGUUGUGCCUAUCUGUUCUUUUGCAAUCUUACUACGUAUUGUGCUACAAUCAUUCUUUAAUUGAUCUGGUUGGGACUCUUCUCCUUUUUGUUUUUCUGUUUAACAGUAAAGUCUGUGACAUGUGAUUAAGACUUAAGAUUUGUCAUUAUGCUGUUUUCAUUCAUUUUUAUCAUGCUGGUAAUUUUUAAUGGACUAUCUAAUUGUGUUUGGAUAUAUUUAUAUGUUAUCUUACGUGGGACCCAUAUGAGGUAUAUUGUGUUAUUAAUUAUUAAUAUUUCCUUCUCCUUUCUUCUUCUUCAUUACCCGAUGUUACAUCAGGUGAGGUUCUCCAGUGAGGAGAUGCCAUCAAAAGAUCUAGUUGUCCCCUCCCUUAAGGGAGGAAGCCAAGGGCCACUUAAUAAGAUGAUAAAGGAGGAAAGAAGAAAUUUUUACAUGAAAUAGAGCUCCAAAGUGUUAAGUUACUUAUUUUUCUCUUUGACAUUUCCUCAACUUAGUUUCCUUUACUCUUUUUUGCAGUUGUUCAGGGUAGGAAGAUAUCUAGAUUUGGCUGUAGUCCUGGAAUUGACUCUCUUCCGAUUUGGGUAAGGAUUAGAAUGAUCUUCUAUGAGUCUUACCAUCCACCACUGCCUUCUUGCUUCUCUUUUAAGGUAAUUCCCAGUAAAUUUGUUUGAUGUUUCUUAAUGUGCACUUGUGAAUGGAUGGGCAUAUAGUGAUGUUGUUUAAUGCAUUCUUGUGAGAAUGGACAGUAUGUUGUUUAUGCAUUCAAUAAGCAUGUAUUUAAAUGAUUAAAUUUUGUAUA